UACGAAGGGGGGCUAGCGUUGCUCGGAAUCACUGGGCGUAAAGGGUGCGUAGGCGGGUCUUUUAAGUCAGGGGUGAAAUCCUGGAGCUCAACUCCAGAACUGCCUUUGAUACUGAGGAUCUUGAGUUCGGGAGAGGUGAGUGGAACUGCGAGUUGUAGAGGUGAAAUUCGUAGAUAUUCGCAAGAACACCAGUGGCGAAGGCGGCUCACUGGCCCGAUACUGACGCUGAGGCACGAAAGCGUGGGGAGCAAACAGG
rnacentral:rRNA from 1 species